rnacentral:tRNA from 1 species
AAGUAAUAUGUCUGAAAAAGAUAUAUUUUGAUAAAAUAUUCAUAUAUAAUUUAUUUAUAUUAUUACUU